CAGAUAGCAAUAACUAAACACAGGAAGGGCAGGGAGAGUGUUUGAGAAGUGUCUUGAAGAUUAAGAGUUGCCUCCAGGAGUAUAAAUAGACAUAAAUGAAGCAAAGACGAGAAAUCCUGGGAGUUGUAGCUCAGGAAGUUAAGUAGAAACACUGCAGAAGGGAAAGAUGGAGGGUGCGAGGGGCAUGACCAAGGCUGAGUCAGUUAAGUCUCUCUGAGGCCACCUAAAGAAAGAGGGAGCACACUUAGAACUGAUGCUUAAGAACUCAGCUCCUGAGCUCUGCCAGCUGCGCGCUGUGCAUAGAGAUGGCGCCUGUCUGAGAAAAGAGAGUCACAGACAGCACAGAAAAGCUUUAACUCAGCCAGGCCUGGUGAGUUGUUCCAAGGAGGUUUCUCCUUCCCGGGAGACUUGACAGGGAAUGAAGCAUCUACCCAUCUCAGCCAGCAAAAAGGCAGAACGGCCUGGCAGCCUGUGCAAAAAAAUGCUGACAGA
rnacentral:lncRNA from 1 species